rnacentral:rRNA from 1 species
CAGCAGCCGCGGGAAUACGAAGGGUGCAAGCGUUAAUCGGAAUUACUGGGAGUAAAGCGCGCGUAGGUGGUUCAUUAAGUUGGAUGUGAAAGCCCUGGGCUCAACCUGGGAACUGCAUCCAAAACUGGUGAGCUAGAGUACGGUAGAGGGUAGUGGAAUUUCCUGUGUAGCGGUGAAAUGCGUAGAUAUAGGAAGGAACACCAGUGGCGAAGGCGACUACCUGGACUGAUACUGACACUGAGGUGCGAAAGCGUGGGGAGCAAACAGGAUUAGAUACCCGCGUAGUCCCUGUCUCUUAUAA